AGAGUUUGAUCCUGGCUCAGGAUGAACGCUAGCGACAGGCUUAACACAUGCAAGUCGAGGGGCAGCGAGGGAGUGGCAACACUUCUGUCGGCGACCGGCGCACGGGUGAGUAACGCGUAUGCAACCUGCCCUUCACAGGGGGAUAACCGGGAGAAAUUCCGACUAAUACCGCAUACGUCCUCCGGGGGCAUCCCCGGAGGAUGAAAGAAUUAUCGGUGAAGGAUGGGCAUGCGUGAUAUUAGGUAGUUGGCGGGGCAACGGCCCACCAAGCCUACGAUAUCUAGGGGUUCUGAGAGGAAGGUCCCCCACAUUGGUACUGAGACACGGACCAAACUCCUACGGGAGGCAGCAGUGAGGAAUAUUGGUCAAUGGACGAGAGUCUGAACCAGCCAAGUCGCGUGAAGGAAGACGGAUCUAUGGUUUGUAAACUUCUUUAGUGCGGGAACAAAGCGGUGUCGUGACGCCGGAUGAGUGUACCGCAAGAAUAAGCAUCGGCUAACUCCGUGCCAGCAGCCGCGGUAAUACGGAGGAUGCGAGCGUUAUCCGGAUUUAUUGGGUUUAAAGGGAGCGCAGGCUGCGAGGCAAGUCAGCGGUCAAAUGUCGGGGCUCAACCCCGGCCUGCCGUUGAAACUGUCUUGCUAGAGUUCGAGUGAGGUAUGCGGAAUGCGUUGUGUAGCGGUGAAAUGCAUAGAUAUGACGCAGAACUCCGAUUGCGAAGGCAGCAUACCAACUCGCGACUGACGCUGAGGCUCGAAAGCGUGGGUAUCGAACAGGAUUAGAUACCCUGGUAGUCCACGCAGUAAACGAUGAAUACUAACUGUUCGGAGGGCGACCUCUGAGUGGUAAAGCGAAAGCGUUAAGUAUUCCACCUGGGGAGUACGCCGGCAACGGUGAAACUCAAAGGAAUUGACGGGGGCCCGCA
rnacentral:rRNA from 1 species